GGCCGUUUGACCCCCGAAACAAUUCGCUGAAGUCAGGACUUCGACACAGAUUUUCCGCAGUCUCGGAAGAACCUUGUCGAAUUCCGAUUUCCUCUCUUUUAACCACCUCUAAAACCCCUAUCUAACCUCUUUACAGCCUCAAUUCUAUUAGGGGACUAGGUAGGGAUGGGUAUUUACCUCUUUCUCUUCGGAGGAUUGGGUUCUUGCACCGAGGAAAAGGAGACCGAUACUUCUUCUUCUUCUUUCUUCUUCUUCUUCUUCUUCUUCCUUCACGCCUGAGACCUCCUCUCCCUCUCUGUCUCAAAUCCAACGUCUCAGCCAACCAAACCCCAUUUAAGUCACAUCAAAACACCAAAAUUUUCUAUUUUGCCCUUGC
rnacentral:lncRNA from 1 species